rnacentral:rRNA from 1 species
UACGAACCGUCCAAACGUUAUUCGGAUUCAUUGGGCUUAAAGGGUAUGUAGGCGGCGCUGUCAGUCGGGUGUGAAAGCCCUCGGCUCAACCGAGGAAUUGCGCCCGAUACUGCAGCGCUUGAGGGAGACAGAGGUAAGCGGAACUGAUGGUGGAGCGGUGAAAUGCGUUGAUAUCAUCAGGAACACCGGUGGCGAAAGCGGCUUACUGGGUCUCUUCUGACGCUAAGAUACGAAAGCUAGGGGAGCGAAGGGG